AGUGAACGCUGGCGGUAGGCCUAACACAUGCAAGUCGAGCGGCAGCACAGUAAGAGCUUGCUCUUACGGGUGGCGAGUGGCGGACGGGUGAGGAAUACAUCGGAAUCUACUUUUUCGUGGGGGAUAACGUAGGGAAACUUACGCUAAUACCGCAUACGACCUACGGGUGAAAGCAGGGGAUCUUCGGACCUUGCGCGAUUGAAUGAGCCGAUGUCGGAUUAGCUAGUUGGCGGGGUAAAGGCCCACCAAGGCGACGAUCCGUAGCUGGUCUGAGAGGAUGAUCAGCCACACUGGAACUGGAACACGGACCAGACUCCUACGGGAGGCAGCAGUGGGGAAUAUUGGACAAUGGGGGCAAGCCUGAUCCAGCCAUACCGCGUGGGUGAAGAAGGCCUUCGGGUUGUAAAGCCCUUUUGUUGGGAAAGAAAAGCAGCAGGUUAAUACCCCGCUGUUCUGACGGUACCCAAAGAAUAAGCACCGGCUAACUUCGUG
rnacentral:rRNA from 1 species